UGGGGAAUAUUGCACAAUGGGCGAAAGCCUGAUGCAGCCAUGCCGCGUGUGUGAAGAAGGCCUUAGGGUUGUAAAGCACUUUCAGCGAGGAGGAAAGGAUUAAAGUUAAUACCUUUAGUCUGUGACGUUACUCGCAGAAGAAGCACCGGCUAACUCCGUGCCAGCAGCCGCGGUAAUACGGAGGGUGCGAGCGUUAAUCGGAAUUACUGGGCGUAAAGCGUGCGUAGGCGGCUACUUAAGUUGGAUGUGAAAGCCCCGGGCUCAACCUGGGAACUGCAUCCAAAACUGAGUGGCUAGAGUGCGAGAGAGGAGUGUGGAAUUUCCUGUGUAGCGGUGAAAUGCGUAGAUAUAGGAAGGAACACCAGUGGCGAAGGCGACACUCUGGCUUGACACUGACGCUGAGGAACGAAAGCGUGGGGAGCAAACAGGAUUAGAUACCCUGGUAGUCCACGCCGUAAACGAUGUCUACUAGUUGUCCGUUGUCUUGUACGAUGGGUAACGCAGCUAACGCGAUAAGUAGACCGCCUGGGGAGUACGACCGCAAGGUUA
rnacentral:rRNA from 1 species